GACGAACGCUGGCGGCGUGCUUAACACAUGCAAGUCGAACGGAAAGGCCCUGCUUUUGUGGGGUGCUCGAGUGGCGAACGGGUGAGUAACACGUGAGUAACCUGCCCUUGACUUUGGGAUAACUUCAGGAAACUGGGGCUAAUACCGGAUAGGAGCUCCUGCUGCAUGGUGGGGGUUGGAAAGUUUCGGCGGUUGGGGAUGGACUCGCGGCUUAUCAGCUUGUUGGUGGGGUAGUGGCUUACCAAGGCUUUGACGGGUAGCCGGCCUGAGAGGGUGACCGGCCACAUUGGGACUGAGAUACGGCCCAGACUCCUACGGGAGGCAGCAGUGGGGAAUAUUGCACAAUGGGCGGAAGCCUGAUGCAGCAACGCCGCGUGCGGGAUGACGGCCUUCGGGUUGUAAACCGCUUUCGCCUGUGACGAAGCGUGAGUGACGGUAAUGGGUAAAGAAGCACCGGCUAACUACGUGCCAGCAGCCGCGGUGAUACGUAGGGUGCGAGCGUUGUCCGGAUUUAUUGGGCGUAAAGGGCUCGUAGGUGGUUGAUCGCGUCGGAAGUGUAAUCUUGGGGCUUAACCCUGAGCGUGCUUUCGAUACGGGUUGACUUGAGGAAGGUAGGGGAGAAUGGAAUUCCUGGUGGAGCGGUGGAAUGCGCAGAUAUCAGGAGGAACACCAGUGGCGAAGGCGGUUCUCUGGGCCUUUCCUGACGCUGAGGAGCGAAAGCGUGGGGAGCGAACAGGCUUAGAUACCCUGGUAGUCCACGCUGUAAACGGUGGGUACUAGGUGUGGGGUCCAUUCCACGGGUUCCGUGCCGUAGCUAACGCUUUAAGUACCCCGCCUGGGGAGUACGGCCGCAAGGCUAAAACUCAAAGGAAUUGACGGGGCCCCGCACAAGCGGCGGAGCAUGCGGAUUAAUUCGAUGCAACGCGUAGAACCUUACCUGGGUUUGACAUGGAUCGGGAGUGCUCAGAGAUGGGUGUGCCUCUUUUGGGGUCGGUUCACAGGCGGUGCAUGGCUGUCGUCAGCUCGUGUCGUGAGAUGUUGGGUUAAGUCCCGCAACGAGCGCAACCCUUGUUCACUGUUGCCAGCACGUUAUGGUGGGGACUCAGUGGAGACCGCCGGGGUCAACUCGGAGGAAGGUGGGGAUGACGUCAAGUCAUCAUGCCCCUUAUGUCCAGGGCUUCACGCAUGCUACAAUGGCUGGUACAGAGAGUGGCGAGCCUGUGAGGGUGAGCGAAUCUCGGAAAGUCGGUCUCAGUUCGGAUUGGGGUCUGCAACUCGACCUCAUGAAGUCGGAGUCGCUAGUAAUCGCAGAUCAGCAACGCUGCGGUGAAUACGUUCCCGGGGC
rnacentral:rRNA from 1 species